UGGAUGCGACCCGGAACGUUCAACAGGUGGCGGUCGGUCCCCAUCCACAUGUGCAGAACAGCCCAGGAGAGCGUUUCAAAUGGGAGCUCCUGAUUCAGGGUCGCGGCCCGUGCCCGAAGCCCAGUGUUUCCCACCUCGCGACCUCAGGCGGAGUUUGACUUCCAGGUGAAGCUGACCAUGAAGUGAUUGGCACAAAGGAAACAUCUGCCUUGCUCAUGACAGUCGCUCCAGCGGGCAAGGUGGGCACCCAGCCGACCAGACUCGGGAGGCAAGCGGCGGGUCCAAAGUUUACCUUCUUGUAAAAUUCAGGGGAAGCCCAAGGCAAGGUUGAAAUUCUGACUCAUUUUCAAGCGUGGAAAAGGAAAUUAAAAUGUAUGCAGGUUUUAA